rnacentral:rRNA from 1 species
AGAGUUUGAUCAUUGGCUCAGGAUGAACGCUAGCGGGAGGCCUAACACAUGCAAGCCGAGCGGUAGAGAUUCUUCGGAAUCUUGAGAGCGGCGUACGGGUGCGGAACACGUGUGCAACCUACCUUUAUCUGGAGGAUAGCCUUUCGAAAGGAAGAUUAAUACUCCAUAAUAUAUUGAUUGGCAUCAAUUGAUAUUGAAAGCUCCGGCGGAUAGAGAUGGGCACGCGCAAGAUUAGUUAGUUGGUGAGGUAACGGCUCACCAAGACGAUGAUCUUUAGGGGCCUGAGAGGGUGAUCCCCCACACUGGUACUGAGACACGGACCAGACUCCUACGGGAGGCAGCAGUGAGGAAUAUUGGUCAAUGGGUGCAAGCCUGAACCAGCCAUCCCGCGUGAAGGACGACUGCCCUAUGGGUUGUAAACUUCUUUGUAUAGGGAUAAACCUACCCUCGUGAGGGUAGCUGAAGGUACUAUACGAAUAAGCACCGGCUAACUCCGUG